rnacentral:rRNA from 1 species
AUUGAACGCUGGCGGCAGGCCUAACACAUGCAAGUCGAACGAGUGGCGGACGGGUGAGUAAUGUCUGGGAAACUGCCUGAUGGAGGGGGAUAACUACUGGAAACGGUAGCUAAUACCGCAUACCAUCAGAUGUGCCCAGAUGGGAUUAGCUCGUUGGUGGGGUAACGGCUCACCAAGGCGACGAUCCCUAGCUGGUCUGAGAGGAUGACCAGCCACACUGGGACUUAGACACGGUCCAGACUCCUACGGGAGGCAGCAGUAGGGAAUCUUCGGCAAUGGACGAAAGCCUGAUCCAGCCAUGCCGCGUGUGUGAAGAAGGUCUUCGGAUUGUAAAGCACUUUAAGUUGGGAGGCGUUACCAACAGAAUAAGCACCGGCUAACUUCGUGCCAGCCGCCGCGGUAAUAC